rnacentral:sRNA from 1 species
GACAAGCCUGUCAUUGGCCACUGACUGAUCAUCGUUAGCCUGUACCUUAUUUAAUGGACCUCUAGAAAUGAGUUUUUGCAUAAACUGUAUGAAUCAUAAUGAAGUACCAGUACUUUAUUAAAUGUAUGUAUGCAAGUUAUGUAAAGCACAGAUACAAGUAUGCAGGCCAUUUGAUCUAGAAAUAUAAUAUAUUUUUUUAUCAGUAUAGAAGUAGAUUGAUUUAAAAAUGCUUUCUUGAUUGUCUUUUGAUAGAAGAAAAAGUGUGUUUGAUGUUAUAGAAAUUUAUCAUAUUCAUUACUUGUAUGAAAGGUAUUCAACAUAUUUAUUUAUCCAUGUUCUUUACUUAUCAUGGGUAAUGGUCUGUCUGCAUAUAUACUUAUGAUUAUUAAGUAUCAUGAUUUCAGCAUACAUUGAUUUCCAUUUGUUCUGCAUUUCUGGGUAAAAAGUACAUGUUACUAGUUUUACAUUCUCUUUAAGGCUUGUAUUAAUUCAGUGUUGUUUCUAACGAAAAUCCUCACUCAAAAAAUAUAAAAAAAAAAUAAGGUUUUAAAUUAUUGGUCUCUUAUUUUCAAUUUGAAGUUCAAAAUUGAAACUUUUGAAGGUUAUUAUUUCAUCUUUCCUGAUCAUUAGUUUUGUGAAAUUAUAUUCUGUUAUUAUUAUUUUAUUUUUUUUGGAGAAACAGAUAUGUUUUGGAAGAAAUGUUACCAUUUUGUACACUAUAAGCAGUAUAGUAAAACAAAUUAUAGGUAAAUUAUUUUGAAAUACUGUUAUAUUAGAUAUAUUUGAAUCUUGAUCAUCAUUCUUGAAUCAUGUAAAACUUCUGCAUAAUUGAUACUUUAAUCAUGUGUAUUGAAUACAUGUGUAUCAUUAGAUAUAUGGCAUUUCAUUUUUUUUUUUGGAAAUAUUGAUUACUUUUGUAUAUAAAAAAAUCAAAUAUAUGAAAUCAUUAAUAAAAGUUUUCAUAAU